AUUGAACGCUGGCGGCAGGCCUAACACAUGCAAGUCGAGCGAGCGGCGGAGGGGGGAGUAAUGUCUGGGAAACUGCCCGAUGGAGGGGGAUAACUACUGGAAAAGGUAGCUAAUACCGCACACCAUCAGAUGUGCCCAGAUGGGGUUAGCGAGUAGGUGGGGUAACGGCUCACCUAGGCGACGAUCCCUAGCUGGUCUGUGAGGAUGACCAGCCACACUGGAACUGAGACACGGUCCAGACUCCUACGGGAGGCAGCAGUGGGGAAUAUUGCACAAUGGGCGCAAGCCUGAUACAGCCAUGCCGCGUGUGUGAAGAAGGCCUUCGGGUUGUAAAGCACUUUCAGCGGGGAGGCGUUACCCGCAGAAGAAGCACCGGCUAACUCCGUGCCAGCAGCCGCGGUAAUUC
rnacentral:rRNA from 1 species